ensembl:ncRNA Y51A2D.25 ncRNA
AAUUCGUAACUCUGCCAGUUUUCAACAUUUUUGAACCAUUUUUUAAGUAGAAAAAUACGACGAAUUUUUUCGAAAAUUCACUAACCUGGUGUAAUACUGACAAUCACUUCCUUCCACACAGUUCCCAUAGGCUUGAGCCCGGGA